rnacentral:rRNA from 1 species
UGGGGAAUAUUGGACAAUGGGGGCAACCCUGAUCCAGCCAUGCCGCGUGAGUGAUGAAGGCCUUAGGGUUGUAAAGCUCUUUUACCAGGGAUGAUAAUGACAGUACCUGGAGAAUAAGCUCCGGCUAACUCCGUGCCAGCAGCCGCGGUAAUACGGAGGGAGCUAGCGUUGUUCGGAAUUACUGGGCGUAAAGCGCACGUAGGCGGACUGGUCAGUCAGGGGUGAAAUCCCGGGGCUCAACCCCGGAACUGCCUUUGAUACUGCCUGUCUGGAGUCCGAGAGAGGUGAGUGGAAUUCCGAGUGUAGAGGUGAAAUUCGUAGAUAUUCGGAGGAACACCAGUGGCGAAGGCGGCUCACUGGCUCGGUACUGACGCUGAGGUGCGAAAGCGUGGGGAGCAAACAGGAUUAGAUACCCCCGUAGUCC